UAUAUGACAAGCACAAUCCCUGGUACUAAUGCUUACUCUGUUUAUUUUGGAUGUUCAAGUGUAGCAUCUAUUGACCAAUGCAAGCUCCAUCAGGAUGUGCGUAGUGUCCAUAAGUUUCUUUUUGGCCAGUACAGGGAGAAAAAUAUAUGGAAUGUACAACAAUCCUACAUGAAACAUUCUGAACAAAGUCAUAUCGAGCUACCCCUAGAAAUUUCUAUAGCUUCUAUGAACUCAGGGCCAACUUGCAUUUUCAUGUCAAGCAUGGCUGAUUAUCAGAGGGAAAGGAAAGAUGGAGUAGCAGAAUCAUUGCCUACGAUGAGUUCAUCGGGUCGAAGUGCACAUUAACAAGCAUUGCCUGCUGUCUGCCUUCGCCUACUUUGACGAGGACGACAGCGGGUACAUCACCGUUGACCCGCUGGAAGAGGUGUGCUGGGAGUACAAUACAGGCUGACGUCGGUAACGCGACAUCAUUAGGGAGGUCGGCAUGCGUAUGUUUAUUCUAUGCAUCUGGUGAUAAUAAUAGACGUGCAUUGCACGUACACGUUUACUAGUCUAAUUAGGAUCCGAUGUCUCUUGUCCGUGAUGAUCUUGCUUGGAAAAUAUGGCUCCACCUGGCCCAGUCGCGCCUUUCCCUCAUCCACACCAACCGGUCGCCCGAAUCUCGAGCGCCACUCAUGGCCUCCUCCGCCUUGUCCGGCACCCACCAUCGCCUCCUCCCCUGUUUCCUGCGCCGCCUCCCCCGGCCCCGCACGCGCUCGUGCUCCCGCCUCCGCCUCGCCGCCUGCCAUGCCGACACCCUCCUUUCCUCCUCCGGGACCCAGAGGCCUCCCGCCCCCGCGGCGUGCUCGUCCGCAUCCUCCGCUGGCGGGUUCUCUGACUGGCUACUCACGAAUGGGCUGCCGCCGGGCAAGGUGGCCAUCCUGGAGCGCCCCGUCCCGUGCUCUCGCGGGGGCAAAGACCGGCCAUUACACUUCGUCGCUGCUGGGCAGGACCUCGAGGCGGGGGAUGUGGCGUUCGAGGUGCCCAUGUCGCUCGUUGUCACGCUGGAGCGGGUUCUCGGCGACGAGUCGGUUGCUGAAUUGUUAACAACAAACAAAUUGUCUGAGCUGGCAUGCUUGGCAUUGUAUCUCAUGUAUGAGAAGAAGCAAGGAAGAGAUUCACUUUGGUACCCGUAUAUUAAAGAACUUGAUCGUCAGCGAGGCAGGGGGCAACUAGCUGUUGAAUCACCUCUUUUAUGGACUGAAAGUGAACUGGAUUACCUGAAUGGCAGCCCCAUGAGGGAUGAAGUUGUUGUUAGAGAUGAGGGAAUAAGAAGAGAGUAUAAUGAGCUUGAUACAUUGUGGUUCAUGGCAGGUUCAUUGUUUAAGCAAUACCCUUUUGAUGUACCUACUGAGGCGUUUCCGUUUGAGAUCUUCAAGCAGGCAUUUGUUGCAGUACAGUCUUGUGUGGUUCAUUUGCAGAAGGUUAGUUUAGCUCGAAGAUUUGCACUAGUUCCCUUGGGCCCACCACUGUUGACGUACAAGAGCAACUGCAAAGCAAUGCUGACUGCUGUUGAUGGUUCUGUUCGAUUGCUGGUCGAUCGGCCGUACAAAGCAGGAGAACCGAUAAUUGUUUGGUGUGGGCCUCAACCAAACUCCAGGUUGCUUCUCAAUUAUGGUUUUGUUGAUGAAGACAAUCCAUAUGAUCGCAUAGCAAUCGAGGCAUCCCUAAACACUGAAGAUCCUCAAUACCAAGAGAAGAGAAUGGUCGCUCAAAGAAAUGGAAAGCUUGCUAUCCAAAAAUUCCAAGUCUGUGUAGGCAAAGAGAAGGAAACUAUUUCUGAAAUGCUGCCAUACUUGAGACUAGGAUACAUUUCAGAUCCAGAUGAAAUGCAAUGUAUACUUUCGUCAGAAGGUGAUACAUGUCCAGUUAGUCCAUGCUCAGAGCGAGCUGUACUUGACCAACUUGUUGUCUACCUGAAAUCAAGAUUGGCUGGUUAUCCGACUACUUUGGACGAGGACGAAGCAAUGUUGGCCGAUGGCAGUUUGGAACCAAAGAAAGAAGUUGCUACUAGACUUGUAAGGUUAGAGAAGAAAAUGCUGCAUGGCUGUCUUCAGGCUGCUAACGAGUUCAUAAGUGGCUUGCCUGAUCAUACCGUAUCACCUUGCCCUGCUCUAUAUGCUCCUGAAUUGAAAUAAGAGAAGCAAGUGUGCAGUGAGAUUCAAUUAUUGCUAGAUGGACAUAUCACUUCAGAACACGUUCUCUGUUAAGUGCAUCAUUAGAAGGAAACCUGUUCGAGUGUAACAAGGAUAUUGUCGAUCUCCAGUAGAUCUGCAAACAGUUUUAUUGCACACAAGUGUGCAUUGAUUUGUUUCCCCAGCCGUGUAGAUUCGUUCUGUGUGUUCAUUUUCAUGAUUGAGAGUUAGCAAUGGUAUCUUGGACAUGCUCACUUUCCAUUUUGUGCAUAGAAGAACAUGCAUGAAAAUUGGCUUGGCUCAGCUAUUCUUUUGUAACGGCUGGUUUAGAAUUACGAAUCUGUCGAUCCAGAGCUGGUAACUGCAUGACAGUAGUUAUGCUCUGAUGGCUGCAUACCGCUAUUUGUAGUUUGAUUAUCUUCUCGAUGCUUUCCCAAAAAUUCGUUUCUUUGCCCAA